ACCCAGCCUCCAACGUUGUGGAGAAGCCCAGGCCACAUGCAGGGGCCAUGUGUAGGUAUGCCAGCUGACAGGCCAGAUGAGGUCCAGCCAAAUGCCAGCAUUAAUCACCAAUUUGUGAGUGAGGAUGCCUUCAAGAUGAGGAAACAAAGGCUCCAGGAAACAAAGCAACUUGCCUGAGGUUAUGAAGUCAGGAUGUGGCAAAGCUGGGAUUGGAUUGCAAGUAACUGGCAUAUCAGAGAAGCUGAGUGACCUCACCAGGGUCACAGAGCACGUUAACAAGGAGUCAAGCCAAGCCCAGAGCACCUUGAAUGAGAAGGUGGGAGGCUGUAUUCUCUUCCAUGGAUGGCUGGGAGUUAGAUGGAAAUAGGACGGUCUCAAUGUCUGCUCCCUGCUUUCCACAACCAGAAGAUCCAUAAGAACAGAGACCAGUAGUGCACAAUACUUAUCUAUUGACUGUCUUGCUUUGCAACUUUAGCCAAAUUCCUCUCCACUCUGGGAUUCAGUUUCCCCCACUGUAAACAAAUGGGGGAGGAGGGAAGGUGCAGAUGGAUUCUAAAUUCCCCACCAGGCUUCCUGGCAGAGGUGGUGGGGGUGAGGUCAUGCUCAGAGGUGGAGGAUGGACAGCUUGACCUUCCUCCCUGAUUUCAGACUUACGGAUUAAGCAAGCCUAUGGCUCCAGCGAGGAAGCUGAAGCCCCAAGAACUGCACUUCCACCAGACGCCCACAGGUAGCAGCAGAGGCCCACAUGGCAGCGGCUGUGGUGCAUGUGGUUUGAAUUUAACUCAUUGGUUUUCUUUUUUUUAAUGUGGUUUUUUUUCCCUUUCUUUCUUCUCUGAGAUCCGCCCCCCUCCCUCCCAAUUUCAAGAAGAUACAGCUGGACCUUCCAGGCUGGGAAGGAAAAGUUUCUUAACAUCAUGGAUAAUAGCGGGAAGCAGGAGGUGGGACUUCAGGGGUAGAUGGAUAGACAGACCCCCAACAGAUGUGAAAAACAUCUUAGGAGCUCAGAAGCUUUGAAUGCAAUCAUCCUCUCAGCCCAAGAAGCUGGGACUGUCACCCCCAUUUUACAGGCAGAGAAACCAGAACCCAGAUCUUCUGGGUCCCACAUCUGAGUCUGAGGGGGGGAGGUUGCCCUGCCCUUGGCAGUCGAGAAGGACCCCACUGGGAACCCCAUGAGGCCUUAGGGUAGGUAGGACUUGCUAAAUCUGGCAACUCAUGCUUUAGGGCUCCCAGGAAAUGCACCCACCUUCCCCUAUGCACACUUCUGCCUACAUACUGGCCUGGCUUGUGGUCCCAGCCCUGGCUUAAAACCUAUGAAUGAGAUGACCUCCAGGGGCCCUCCUCUCCCAGCUCUAAAAGUUAUUUCAUUCAAAAUGUCUAAACCUGGCUCAGCACCAGACCAGUGCUCAGGGAAUCAGGCCUCUGUGGCCCAGGACCACCACCAUUCAGCCUCUGAUUCCUGACCUGCACAGAGCACUGGAAAGCAGGGAUCCCUUCCCUCUCCUCCACCCAGUUCCCCAGCCUGCAGGGAGGCUGGGAUCGUGGGAACGGAAGUUAUCCAGGGUCUGUUUCCAGCCCCUCUUGUUCCCUCCCUCCCUCAGACCCAGAAGCAGGAGGAAGGGCUGCAGUCGUGUGUUGUCGGUGGGAUGGGGUGUCCUGCCUCUGGCGCAGAAGAUGACUCACAGGGCUGUGGGCCAGGCACCCUGGGAAAGGCCAGGUCAGCCUCAGCCAGAGCCCCAGGGAGCUGGGGCAGGAAGGAGGGGGGCCAGGGCCUGCCUUGGCUGAAAAUAAAUCCUGGGGGGUCUUGAAGCCCCACAGCCAAAAGAGGCUGUCUUCCCCACUUACCAUAGUGCCAGAAAUUCUAUUCAUGCCACCAGAGACGUAGGGAAGCCUGAAGUGCAAUCAGCCCCCAGCAGCCUACGCGUGACCUCCCAGCCUCUCCUCUAGCCAGGCUAGUCUCUUCACCACUGUCCAACCCCAGUCUCCUCCCCACCUCUCCACCUUUGUGUAGACUGCUCCUCUGCCUGGGCUGCCCUCCUUGCUCUUGGCCCUGUUUAAACGCCAUCUAACUUUUAUGCUCUGCCUCUUCCCAAAGUUUCUUUUAAGUCCUCCACCCUCCCUGACCUAUCCCUGCUAUAGACCAGGGCACUGACCAAACUGCCUGGUGCUAAUUCCCCAAUCAGCAGCCUCCUUUUUGGCAUACUGAAAGACCUACUAUGUGCCAGGCUUGCACUCAGGCAAGCUGCCCAGGUACUAAGGGACACAUAACAAAGUCUGUGAGCUCCAAAAGGGAGGGUGCACUUCUGCCUUCUUCCAGCAGCUUCCAUGCCUACAACAGAGGCUGGCCCACAGUAAAUGCUCAGUUCACAUUUGUGAAUUUGUGGAUGAAUGAAAGCAAGCAUCAGUGUAACUAAUGUGCACUGAUUAGUUUAGAAUGUCCAUGUUCAAUCCUCUCUUGAAGGAGGGAGGCAGAGAAGGGACCAUUUCUACGCAUUUGAUAUAUGGGCACUGAGGCUCAAAGAGGAAAUGCCUCAUGACCCCCAGGGCGGCAGACAGUCAGCUGAGCUAGAACCAGACCAGACCAGGCCUCUGGAGCACUUCCACUGUAGCUUGUCCAGAGAGGCCCAACCAGCUGGGUUGCAGUUUGGCCCCUACCUCCCCUACUCCCACCCUGUUCCAAGACCCAGGUGACACUCUGAGGGAAGAGUAAGUUCUACCCAUCAGUUGGUCACUCCAGCCCUGGCCCUGGGGACUGUGGCAUAACCCAGAGCUGAGGGAAGCCCCCUCCCAUCACACCAGGCAAGCAUAGGAUGGUCAGGAUGCCCAGGGGCAGUGACCAUGCCUAUUCAAUUAUCCCUCCACCCUAGCCUCUGGAAGAAGUGGUCUCUGCCUCUGGCUGACCAACAGCAGCUUGGGCUUUUAGGCCUUACUGAAUUUAUCCACCAAUGGUGACCAGCCCUAAUGCCUCGACAGCCAUAGUCAGGUGUGAGUGCGAGCACACGUGCGUGUACACAAGUGUGCACAGUGGAUAAGAUUCACAGCUGAAGGUCAGCCUGAGCCAAACCCGGGGUAUACUCUCCUGAGGCCCAGGACGAGGCCACCACCGCCAGAAAGUCUUUCUGGUAGUACAGACCUGCCCACUCCCCUCCUCUGAACUUCUAGAGUUUCGGCCUUCAAAACUCAGGGUCUUUCUAGUCUUGUCGUGAUUACUGGCACUAAGUGGAACCACCCAGUACCUUAGAGUUUACAAAACACUUCCAGGGCCUAAUUUCAUGAGCUCUUCUGUGGGUAAAGCAAGGCUCAGUGAGAAGUCAUGCGUGCUUAGGUUCUCAAGACAGGCUGGUGGGGCCAGGCCCAAAUCGCAGUGCUGGCACUGACCUGCUGUGGGACUGUGAGCAAAUUACACAACCUCGCUGGGCCUGAAGACAGGAAGAGAGCAAAAGCAUAAACCAGGAGGAGAAGAUCUCCUGAAGGAUUCCUCUGCGCUGCUUAAUAAGCGCUCUGCAGGUAUUAUUUUAACCUCACAACAAGCCUCCUGGGUAGGCCCUAUUAUUACCCUGUUUUACAGAGGAAGAUGAUGAGGCAUAGUUAAGUACCUUGCUCAAGGUCUCUCAAGCAGACAGGAUUCCCGCCCCCCAGGAACCCCAGAAGGAAGAGGUGUAGGGUUAUUUAGGAACCCGGAGAGUCGGAGCAUCUUCUAGCCUAAGGGAGUGACCCUGGGAGUGGCCCAGGCUCCCAGCAUGAGGAGGACACCCACUCGCCCACUCGGCCUUUUCCACAGCAGGGAAAACUGGCGACAACCUCAAGGUCCAACCACAGGAAGGCCCAGAGAUUCAUGCACUUACUGAAAUCUUUGAAAUGCUAUGGAGAAGUAUUUGGGUGUAACAUCAAAUGAAAGAAGUAAGAAGCAUACAUUCUGCACCAUCUCAAUGUUAUUUAAAAUACACACACACACACACACACACACACAGACACACACACACACACACGGAGAAAAAGCCUGGAGGGAAAUAUACCAGAACAUUAACAGUGGGCAGAGGCCCUGGACAAAGGUGGGUAGAGGGGUAGAGCCAGAGACCACUCUCCACUGAUGGCUUCCCGACCUCCAGGAAGACCACAUCUGUGCCUCAGUUUCCCCAUCUAUAAAGUACAGAAUAUAGAGGGCUUACUUCCCACAGUGCCCAGAACAAAGCAUGAGUUCAACAAAUAUUGGCUGUUAUGAAUAACCAGAAUCUCAGAGGGCAGGUCCCCUCAGGGGUCAGCAGUUGGCUUAAGCAUCCUCCUCCCACGGCAGGCCUCCCUGGCAGCCCUCACUGGCAUAUCCGCAGGGCUGAGGAGCUCCCCCUCCCAUGGGGCCAUGGUAGCUCCUUCCACUAUGGGCAUGUCUGCUUGAGAAAAAGCCAAGCUGGGCUGGACCCCUCAGUCUCUGGGUGGCCUUAGAAAUGGACAGCAGUCACCUCAGGAAGAAAUUUCCUCCACCUCCCGUUCAAAAAUUCUUUGGGCUCUAAUGCUUCUGUGGGGUGAUUCUCCAGAUGAGAGUUGGGAGAGGUUUUCCGGGUGGCUCUCUUAUCCCCAGCCCAGGUGACCACCUCUAUCCCUCUCUCUCUCCCUGGGACAACAGAGUAGCAUUUGUUGGCAGCACUUUGUGCCUUUUCCAUUUUCUCCUUUGGAAAACAAAUGAGAAGCCAGCUGAGUCUGACCUCCUCCCCCCGCACCCCCUCCACCCCCCCUCGCCCAACCCUCCAGGCCCCCAGGGGCAGGAGGCCCUUUCUGCCUCCUCCCUGGACAACAGGCCUGGUGGAGAACCCCAGAGGAGGGGCCCUGUGAGCUGGCUGUUGCCAUGGCAAUGACAGCCCUGGAAUUUGACCACUGGGGCCCAGGAGUGGGGGUGGGGAGGUGGUAUAGGCCCAGGAGUGGGGCCAGGGAGGAAGGUCCAGGGGCCCAGGAAAGCCAAGAAGAGCAAUGCAGGGCAGGGGUCCAGGGUUCCCUCCAUGGCCUCAGUUUCCCCAUCUGUAAAAGAGGGAGAGAGAGGCAUGGGCCUUAAGAUCUCUCUACCUCUAAUCCAAAUCGAGACAUGGGUAAGGGCUAGCGGUAUGGGACACAGCCAGGACAAGGCCAGUGCUCCCUUUGAUGGAUAGGGACCCCAGGGAACAGGGACUCAAUCCAAGGUCACACAGCAAGUCCAGGGUAGUGGCAGGACUAGGUUCUGGGGGAUGUGGUCUGUCCACUCUGGCUUCCCUAUUUUUCUAAAGGAGAGGACAAGGGUGCCUGCCUCAUGGUAGGGAGAAGAGGAUCCCCAAGAAUGGUAAUAGCUGGGCCCACAGUGCUGAGACAGCAGGAACACAGUGAAUUCUGCUGCCAGCCCUCCAUCCUCUUGGGCCAAGCCUGAGUGGGCGCUAGCUCCACGGUCUUACUCUCUGCCUCCACCUCCAGGACAGCCAGGGCGAUGUCCAGGGCCUCUUCCAGCUAUGAUACUCUAGGCCCAGAGAGGGGAUGGGGCUGGCCCAAAGUCACACAGUACAGACAAGGAAUUUGGGAAUGUUAUGCCACCUUCCAGUGCCCAGCAAGUUAUCUGGUGCCACUCCAGGCCCUUCUGUUCAUCCCUCUGCCCCUGCCCCUCCACAGCCACAGCCUCGAUCCCCUCAGCUGACCUUCACAUCCACCCCAGAAAGAUUCUGACCAAGUCAUUCCUCACCUUAAAACCAACCAUUCAGAAAAAAAAGAGUUGCAGCCACAACUCAUACUACACACCAGGAUAAAUUCCAACCCGAUCAAGGAUUUACAUGU